rnacentral:rRNA from 1 species
CCUACGGGAGGCAGCAGUGGGGAAUCUUGCGCAAUGGGCGAAAGCCUGACGCAGCCAUGCCGCGUGAAUGAUGAAGGUCUUAGGAUUGUAAAAUUCUUUCACCGAGGACGAUAAUGACGGUACUCGGAGAAGAAGCCCCGGCUAACUUCGUGCCAGCAGCCGCGGUAAUACGAAGGGGGCUAGCGUUGCUCGGAAUUACUGGGCGUAAAGGGAGCGUAGGCGGAUAGUUUAGUCAGAGGUGAAAGCCCAGGGCUCAACCUUGGAAUUGCCUUUGAUACUGGCUAUCUUGAGUACGGAAGAGGUAUGUGGAACUCCGAGUGUAGAGGUGAAAUUCGUAGAUAUUCGGAAGAACACCAGUGGCGAAGGCGACAUACUGGUCCGUUACUGACGCUGAGGCUCGAAAGCGUGGGGAGCAAACAGGAUUAGAUACCCUGGUAGUCCACGCUGUAAACGAUGAGUGCUAGUUGUCGGCAUNCAUGCAUGUCGGUGACGCAGCUACGACAUAAGACACUCCGCCGUGGGGAGGUACGGUCGGCGAAGUAAGUUAAACGUUACAAAUAGUUAAGUUAGUACGGCGUUGAGACGUUGCCGACGGACGACGACGAGGGGAGGUUAGG